rnacentral:rRNA from 1 species
AACGAACGCUGGCGGCAGGCUUAACACAUGCAAGUCGAACGGGCGUAGCAAUACGUCAGUGGCAGACGGGUGAGUAACACGUGGGAAUAUCCCUUUCAGUUCGGAAUAACUCAGGGAAACUUGAGCUAAUACCGGAUACGUCCUUCGGGAGAAAGAUUUAUCGCUGGGAGAUUAGCCCGGGUCUGAUUAGCUAGUUGGUGAGGUAAUGGCUCACCAAGGCGACGAUCAGUAGCUGGUCUGAGAGGAUGAUCAGCCACACUGGGACUGAGACACGGCCCAGACUCCUACGGGAGGCAGCAGUGGGGAAUAUUGGACAAUGGGGGAAACCCUGAUCCAGCCAUGCCGCGUGAGUGAUGAAGGCCUUAGGGUUGUAAAGCUCUUUUGCCAGGGAAGAUAAUGACUGUACCUGGAGAAUAAGCCCCGGCUAACUUCGUGCCAGCCGCCGCAGUAA